rnacentral:rRNA from 1 species
AUGUCGGGGGCUUGCUUUCGGUUGCCUGAUGUGCUCCUCCGCACCCGCGCGUUGAUGCAUCCACGUCGCGCGUCCUCUCGUCGACCUCUUUGCCUAUAUACCACACAGAUCAUCACCGGCCGAUGCACCCGCCGACCUCUCUUCUCCAUCAUACCACGCACUAACACCGAUCGACACACGCCGAGGCGCAAAAAGGAUUCCAUGAUCGCUAUUGCCGGCGCGGUGGUCGCCGGUGUGGCAGCCGCGGCCACGGCGGGGAUUCUUGCCUUGGCGUCGUCGCGCGGCGACCGGCCCGAGGAUGCCACGAGCGCCGUGGCGGCGGCGGUUGUGCCCCAGGAGUGCGCGGUGUGCCUGUCGGAGCUGGUCGGAGCGGCGGAAUUCUCCGGCGACUCUGAGCCAUCGGCGGUGCCGGUACGCGUGCUGCCGGGCUGUGGGCACUGGUUCCACGACGAGUGCAUCGGCAGGUGGCUGCUGCUGCGCCCAGAGUGCCCGCUGUGCCGCUGCCCCGUGGUCACCGCGGACAGUCGGCUAGGCAGGAAGGCCGUGGUGCCUGCCGUGCCGCUGGCGGAGGCCGCGCCUGCCUUGUCGCGGCCGGCUAGGAUCGCGUGCGGCUUCGGCGACGGGAGGGUCCUGUGGACGCGUAGCCCACCCGUGGCAUUGUAA